UACGUAGGGUGCAAGCGUUGUCCGGAAUUAUUGGGCGUAAAGAGUUCGUAGGCGGUUACUUAAGUCUGGUGUUAAAGCCCGAUGCUCAACGUCGGCAUGGCAUUGGAAACUGGGUAGCUAGAGUGUGUCAGAGGUUACGGGAAUUCCUGGUGUAGCGGUGAAAUGCGUAGAUAUCAGGAGGAACACCUGUGGCGAAAGCGCGUAACUGGGGCAUAACUGACGCUGAGGAACGAAAGCCAGGGUAUCCAAAGGG
rnacentral:rRNA from 1 species